AAACAGACSAAUUAASGCUUAACGAACGAGACCCCCGCCUGCUAAAUAGCGUGGCUUACGCAUUCGCGUAGUUGGGCGCUUCUUAGAGGGACUUUCGGUGACUAACCGAAGGAAGUUGGGGGCAACAGGUCUGUG
rnacentral:rRNA from 1 species